GAUGAACGCUGGCGGCGUGCCUAAUACAUGCAAGUCGAGCGAACAGACGAGGAGCUUGCUCCUCUGACGUUAGCGGCGGACGGGUGAGUAACACGUGGAUAACCUACCUAUAAGACUGGGAUAACUUCGGGAAACCGGAGCUACUACCGGCUCAUAUAUUGAACCGCAUGGUUCAAUAGUGAAAGACGGUUUUGCUGUCUCUUAUAGAUGGAUCCGCGCCGCAUUAUCUAGUUGGUAAGGUAACGGCUUACCAAGGCAACGAUGCGUAGCCGACCUGAGAGGGGGAUCGGCCAAAUGGGAACGGAGACAGGGCCCAGACCCCUAGGGGAGGAAGCAGGAGGGAAUUUGCCGCAAGGGGCGAAAGCUUGACGGAGCAACGCCGGGGGAGGGAGGAAGGUCUUCGGAUGGUAAAACUCUUUUAUGAGGGAAGAAAAAAGGUGUAAGUAACUAUGCACGUCUGGACGGUACCUAAGCAGAAAGCCACGGCUAACUACGU
rnacentral:rRNA from 1 species